rnacentral:rRNA from 1 species
AGUGAACGCUGGCGGUAGGCCUAACACAUGCAAGUCGAACGGCAGCACAGUAAGAGCUUGCUCUUACGGGUGGCGAGUGGCGGACGGGUGAGGAAUACAUCGGAAUCUACUUUUUCGUGGGGGAUAACGUAGGGAAACUUACGCUAAUACCGCAUACGACCUACGGGUGAAAGCAGGGGAUCUUCGGACCUUGCGCGAUUGAAUGAGCCGAUGUCGGAUUAGCUAGUUGGCGGGGUAAAGGCCCACCAAGGCGACGAUCCGUAGCUGGUCUGAGAGGAUGAUCAGCCACACUGGAACUGAGACACGGUCCAGACUCCUACGGGAGGGAGCAGUUGGGAAUAUUGGGCAAUGGGCGCAAGCCUGAUCCAGCCAUACCGCGUGGGUGAAGAAGGCCUUCGGGUUGGAAAGCCCUUUUGUUGGGAAAGAAAAGCAGCAGGUUAAUACCCCGCUGUUCUGACGGUACCCAAAGAAUAAGCACCGGCUAACUUCGUG